rnacentral:rRNA from 1 species
AACGAACGCUGGCGGCAGGCCUAACACAUGCAAGUCGAGCGGACCCUUCGGGGUUAGCGGCGGACGGGUGAGUAACGCGUGGGAACGUGCCCUUUGCUUCGGAAUAGCCCUGGGAAACUGGGAGUAAUACCGGAUACGCCCUUUUGGGGAAAGAUUUAUCGGCGAAGGAUCGGCCCGCGUUGGAUUAGGUAGUUGGUGGGGUAAUGGCCUACCAAGCCGACGAUCCAUAGCUGGUUUGAGAGGAUGAUCAGCCACACUGGGACUGAGACACGGCCCAGACUCCUACGGGAGGCAGCGGUGGGGAAUCUUAGACAAUGGGGGAAACCCUGAUCUAGCCAUGCCGCGUGAGCGAUGAAGGCCUUAGGGUUGUAAAGCUCUUUCACCGGGGAAGAUAAUGACGGUACCCGGAGAAGAAGCCCCGGCUAACUCCGUG